CGGUGUGUGGCGCAGCCUGGUAGCGCACUUGCAUGGGGUGCAAGGGGUCGGAGGUUCGAGUCCUCUCACACCGACCA
rnacentral:tRNA from 2 species